UCUUUGACAGUCGGAGGAAGGAAAAGUCGUAACAAGGUUUCGGUAGGUGAUCCUGCGGAAGGAUCAUUAGCGAGUGUGAAAUCGAGAGCUGUUGCUGGUCGGAAGCUCACAUCGUGCACGGUCCCGUGCUCAAUCCAUUUCAACCCCCUUGCGCUCCUUAUCGAAGUCAGUAGUCUUUCUCUUUUUGUUUACCGGUUGUGUGUGGGAACCUCUUUCGGUUCGCUUGGCCGGCGAGGAGAAAUAGAGGGUCGAAAGCUUUGACUUUUCUAUUAAACACUUUGUAUGUCUUGUGGACGUAUUAGCUCCUUUGUAGGGGCGAAAUAAAUACAACUUUCAACAACGGAUCUCUUGGCUCUCGCAUCGAUGAAGAACGCAGCGAAAUGCGAUAAGUAAUGUGAAUUGCAGAAUUCAGUGAAUCAUCGAAUCUUUGAACGCACCUUGCGCCCCUUGUAUUCCGAGGGCAUGCCUGUUUGAGUGUCAUGUUAAUCUCAACCCCUUGUCUUUUUUGUUGACUUGGCGGUUUGGACUUGGAGGUGUCGCUGGCGUGUGUCGGCUCCUCUUAAUUGCAUUAGCUGGACUUUGGUUCGCAUUUGACGGUGUAAUAGUAAAGUGUUCGCCGGGCGUGCUUGCCUAACGGGUCUGCUUCUAAUCGUCUUCGGACAACUCUGUUCAUUUUGACCUUGACCUCAUAGCAGUUUGGACUACCCGCUGAACUUAUCCCAUCAAAAAUAGAGAAAAAAAAAUCACAGGGAAUCCCCCAGUAACUGCGACUGAAGGGAGAAGAGCUCGAAUUAAAAUCUGUCGGCUUUUAGUCGUGCAGUUGUAAUCGGAGAGCAUUUUCCGGCUGGACCGUUCCAAGUCUCCUG
rnacentral:rRNA from 1 species